UGGGGAAUUUUGGACAAUGGGCGCAAGCCUGAUCCAGCCAUGCCGCGUGUGUGAAGAAGGCCUUCGGGCUGUAAAGCACUUUCAGCGAGGAGGCGUUACUCGCAGAAGAAGCACCGGCUAACUCUGUGCCAGCAGCCGCGGUAAUACAGAGGGUGCAAGCGUUAAUCGGAAUUACUGGGCGUAAAGCGCACGUAGGCGGUUGGUUAAGUUGGAUGUGAAAGCCCCGGGCUCAACCUGGGAAUUGCAUUCAAAACUGGCCAACUAGAAUACGGGAGAGGGGGUAGAAUUCCAAGUGUAGCGGUGAAAUGCGUAGAGAUUUGGAGGAAUACCAGUGGCGAAGGCGGCCCCCUGGCCCGAUAUUGACGCUGAGGUGCGAAAGCGUGGGGAGCAAACAGGAUUAGAUACCCUAGUAGU
rnacentral:rRNA from 1 species